CCUUCGAUAGCUCAGUUGUUAGAGCGGAGGACUGUAGAUCCUUAGGUCGCUGGUUCGACUCCGGCUCGAAGGA
rnacentral:tRNA from 1 species